UCUAAGGGGACCGGCCAGCGGAAAGCUGGAGGAAGGUGGGAUGACGUCAAAUCCUCAUGGCCUUUAUGUCCAGGGCUACACACAUGCGACAAUGGUCGAGACAACGCGUUGCAAACCAGUAAUGGUAAGCUAAUCGCAUAAAUCGACCUCAGUACGGAUUGAGGGUUGCAAUUCACCCUCAUGAAGCUGGAGUUGCUAGUAACCGCAGGUCAGCUAUACUGCGAUGAAUACGUUCCCGGGGCUU
rnacentral:rRNA from 1 species